GAUUCAGAAAAUUUAAUUUCUUCCUGUUCGAAUAUAUUUAAAUCUCCGAAUUCCAGAUCAAUCUUUUCAGAAAGCGCUAACCUUUUAAGCGCUGAUAAUAAAAGUUUAACUAAAUCGGAAGAACUAAUUGAUUUUGAAAAAUAUUCCGAAGCGAAUAGUAAAGCAUCGAAAGAUACAGAACCGACUUCCUUUCUUUACGAUCAUGUACUAAAAGAUGUUUGUAAACAAGAAAUGAAGACCGGAGAAGAAGACGAGGAAAGUUUAUUAUCGUGUUCCUGUAAACUUUUUCGUUUGAAAGACGAUCAAAGUUGGGCUUGUUUGGGCGACUGCAUUAUUAAAGUUAACCGAACUAAAGCGCUUCCUUUUCGCUCGAGAAUUGUUUGCCGUUCUAAAAAUGUUAAAAAGUUACUGCUAAACGCUAACAUCUGUGCGGGAAUGGGCGUUCGGAAAGCGAAUCUUCGAAACAUCGUAUUAACUUUAUUUGAGUCGACCAUCGAACCCGGCGCGACUGUCCGAUAUCGCCUUCAGACUUACCUUGUUCGGGCAAACGCGCAAGAUACUGAAAAGUUUUAUGAUACCAUUAUAACUUUAAUUUCAGAUAAAAAAGAAAAAGAAAAAGAAGAGAAUAA